GUGCCAGUCGCCGCGGUAAUACCGGCAGCUCAAGUGAUGUCCCAUAUUAUUGGGCCUAAAGCGUCCGUAGCUGGCCGCGCAAGUCCGUCGGGAAAUCCACCUGCCCAACAGGUGGGCGUCCGGCGGAAACUGUGUGGCUUGGAACCGGAAGGCUCAGAGAGUACGUCCGGGGUAGGAGUGAAAUCCCGUAAUCCCGGACGGACUACCGAUGGCGAAAGCACUCUGAGAAGACGGCUUCGACAGUGAGGGACGAAAGCUCGGGUCUCAAACCGGAUUAGAUACCCGUGUAGUCC
rnacentral:rRNA from 1 species